AAGGGUUUCGGCCUUAGUGGCGGACGGGUGAAGUAACGCGUAGGUAUCUAUCCAUGGGGUGGGGGAUAACACUGGGAAACUGGUGCUAAUACCGCAUGACACCUGAGGGUCAAAGGCGUAAGUCGCCUGUGGAGGAGCCUGCGUUUGAUUAGCUAGUUGGUGGGGUAAAGGCCUACCAAGGCGAUGAUCAAUAGCUGGUUUGAGAGGAUGAUCAGCCACACUGGGACUGAGACACGGCCCAGACUCCUACGGGAGGCAGCAGUGGGGAAUAUUGGACAAUGGGGGCAACCCUGAUCCAGCAAUGCCGCGUGUGUGAAGAAGGUCUUCGGAUUGUAAAGCACUUUCGACGGGGACGAUGAUGACGGUACCCGUAGAAGAAGCCCCGGCUAACUUCGUGCCAGCAGCCGCGGUAAUACGAAGGGGGCUAGCGUUGCUCGGAAUGACUGGGCGUAAAGGGCGUGUAGGCGGUUUGUACAGUCAGAUGUGAAAUCCCCGGGCUUAACCUGGGAGCUGCAUUUGAUACGUGCAGACUAGAGUGUGAGAGAGGGUUGUGGAAUUCCCAGUGUAGAGGUGAAAUUCGUAGAUAUUGGGAAGAACACCGGUGGCGAAGGCGGCAACCUGGCUCAUUACUGACGCUGA
rnacentral:rRNA from 1 species